GGACUACCGGGGUUUCUAAUCCUGUUUGCUCCCCUAGCUUUCGCGCCUCAGCGUCAGCCAUAGCCCAGAAAACCGUCUUCACCACCGGUGUUCCUCCACAUAUCUACGCAUUUCACCGCUACAUGUGGAAUUCCGUUUUCCCUAACUACGCUCAAGCUAGACAGUUUCAAAUGCAGCUCCACAGUUGAGCUGUGGAAUUUCACAUCUGACUUAUCCAGCCGCCUACGCGCCCUUUACGCCCAGUAAUUCCGAUCAAUGCUUGCACCCUCCGUAUUACCGCGGCUGCUGGCAC
rnacentral:rRNA from 1 species